rnacentral:tRNA from 1 species
UGGCUCAGAUGGUAAAGCGUCUGUCUACAACGCAGGAGACCUGGGUUCGAUUCCUGG